UGGUACUGCUCACAUGCUGCAUUCAGGCUGC
rnacentral:piRNA from 2 species